GAGAAAAGGCAGUGUUUACAUUGCUGGCUAGUUACAUCAAUAGUGGUAGUCACUCAGAUGGCCACUAGUAGCUGCUUCCUUGGUCAGCACUGCAUAGUGUGCAGCACUGACGUUCAUGGUCUCCACACUCUGCAUGGAGACGCUGAACAUUCUUCAUAGAGAAGCAUUGACUCAAUGCAUCUCUAUGAGGAAAUACUGUUUGGUGCAGAACUGCGAUUUGCCGUGCAUGCACAACAGCCUCCCAAUGCAUUCCAAUGUAAAAAGAAGGAUUGCAUUGGGCGAGAUUAUCAAAUUUUAGGAUCUCAGCCAGAGAUGCGGAGUUAGCCACAACAAGACCGGUCUGGCACUGGAAAUAAGGUGAGUAAAAACCUAUGGUGUUAAGGAGUCAAGCAGAGCCGUGGACUUAAACAGCGCAUUUACAAAUGUUGUGUCCGGAAUAGGUUUGUAAUCCGGACACUAUAGUGUUCCUUUAAGAAUCUGUUGUAAAGAGGAUUUUUUCACUACAGACUACAAUUAAAAGGACACUAUAUGCAUGCAUCUCAAUGCAUAUGCUAGCCCUACAAGUGAAAACAUUGCUGUUCUGCAGGAAUGGCAAUGUUUUCACUGAAGGGUUUAAAUGCCUCUGGUGGCCGUCACUCCGACAACACGUAGAGGUGGUUUCUACAAAAUAGCUUAGAGAAGCAAGUCUAUUUAAAAUUAGAUCAUUUCAUAGAGACCAUCUGGUUGGCGCAGCACAGAGUUUUGCCUUACAUGCGCACUAGCCUUCCAAUGAUGUCCUAUGGGAUUGGCUGAGAUAAUUAAGCUUGAGUAUCUCAGGAAGGAGGCAGGGCCAGCUACAGUGAGAAGCGCAGUGUGGUAUAAAAGGGAAGUAAUACCUUUUUUAGUCCUUGCAGGGGAAGGGGGGUGGAGGUCACUUAAACAGUGAUUAGCACACGAUAACAUUAGGAGUACACAUUUGAAUUUCAAUCGCUAAAAAGUUCCUUUAAAUGUCUGUGAUCAGGCAUUCCUUUAAAGGAGUUAUAGGAAAUUUACCCCAUACACGAUAAGACUGAUGACCAUACCUCC